rnacentral:rRNA from 1 species
GACGAACGCUGGCGGCGUGCUUAACACAUGCAAGUCGAACGGAAAGGCCCUGCUUGCAGGGUACUCGAGUGGCGAACGGGUGAGUAACACGUGGGUGAUCUGCCCUUCACUUCGGGAUAAGCCUGGGAAACUGGGUCUAAUACCGGAUAGGAGCCAUUUUUAGUGUGAUGGUUGGAAAGUUUUUUCGGUGUAGGAUGAGCUCGCUGCCUAUCAGCUUGUUGGUGGGGUAAUGGCCUACCAAGGCGGCGACGGGUAGCCGGCCUGAGAGGGUGGACGGCCACAUUGGGACUGAGAUACGGCCCAGACUCCUACGGGAGGAAUAAGUGGGGAAUAUUGCACAAUGGGCGCAAGCCUGAUGCAGCGACGCCGCGUGGGGGAUGACGGCCUUCGGGUUGUAAACUCCUUUCGCUAGGGACGAAGCUUUUUGUGACGGUACCUAGAUAAGAAGCACCGGCUAACUACGUG